GGACAUCCUCCACUAUUACCCAUUGGCAAAGACGCAAUUGGCCCAGUUGGCCCAAUUGUAGUCGGACGGCGACCAUGUGAGCCUCAGAAUUAUCACACCUCGCUUAACUUGGGAGGAGGAAGCCACUUUAAAAGGGAGAGCCACCCUUCCCCCAUUGGACUAGUCUUUUGGGGGCGAUUGAGCCUUUCCCUGAGUUGGGUGUGCUUAAUGAACUGUUGGGCUGCGGGCAACCCUAAUUUGUUGGUCCUCGGCCAACCCCACCUAGGCUGGAUGUAUCAUAUGGUAUCAAAGCUAGGGCCCAUUUUAAGAAGGUGGGAAUGAUGAGGACAUCCUCCACUAUUACCUGUUGGCAAAGACGCAAUUGGUCUAGUUGGCCCAAUUGUAGUAGGACGGUGACCGUGUGAGCCUCAGAAUUAUCCCACAUCGCUUAACUUGGGAGGAGGAAGCCACUUUAAAAGGGAGAGCCACCCUUCCCCAUUGGACUAGUUGUUUGGGGCGAUUGGGCCUUUCCCUGAGUUGGGUGUGCUUAAUGAACUGUUGGGCUCCGGGCAACCCUAACUUGUUGGGCCUCGGCCAACCCCACCUGGACUGGGUGUAUCAUCUGGUACCAAAGCUAGGGCCCAUUUUAAGAAGGUGGGAAUGAUGAGGACAUCCUCCACUAUUACUCGUUGGCAAAAGCGCAACUGGCCCAGUUGGCCCAAUUGUAGUCGGACGGUGACCGUGUGAGCCUCAGAAUUAUCCCACCUCACUUAACUUGGGAGGAGGAAGCCACUUUAAAAGGGAGAGACACCUUCCCCCAUUGGACUAGUCUUUUGGGGUGAUUGGGCCUUUCCCUGAGUUGUGUGUGCUUAAUGAACUGUGUGAGUUGUGUGUGCUUAAUGAACUGUUGGGCUCCGGGCAACCCUAAUUUGUUGGGCCUCGGCCAACCCCACCUGGGCUGGGUGUAUCAGUUGAACCUGUACUAAUGAUCAUCUUUAGUGCUGGUUUAUGUUUACAAUUGAUGCUAAAUAGAGAAUUUUAAUAUCGGUUCUUACAUGAACCAGUACUGAAGUCCUCUCUUAGUACCAGUUCAUAUAAAUAGGACUAAAGAUAGAGACUUUUAAUCCCAAAUGCCAAAUACUGGUUGAAAACUCGGUAUCGUAGCCGAUUCUCAAUCGUUAUAGAUGUUGCAUUCUUUAGCAGUGAGACAAGGUGUAUAGGAAGGAGAAGUGGUGUUGAGGUCGACAGUGACUAUACCUGGACAUGUGGGCCGGCCUGACCCGCCACAACAUAGGCCCACAAAAGCACGGCCCACAAAGGCAUGUCCUACAAAAGCAUAUCCCUAAUUAUGGG
rnacentral:lncRNA from 1 species